AAACUAACGGCCUUAUUAUAUAAAAAAAUGAACGAAAAACAAAUAUGUAACACAUAAACAAACGACAACCACUGAAUUACAGGCUCCUGACAAGCAUUUUUAAAGUAGAAAAGGUGGAUUAAACCUGGUUUUAUAAAACAUUGUCAAAUUAUCUAAGGUCAACUAUGCAUGAGGGAGUUGAAAUCUUAUUUUCUUAAUAAUUUUCUUAAUUUAUAAACGAACAAUUUUGAGGAUUUUUUUUUAUUAUAAAUAUGUAAGUACCGACGUACUAACACUUGAGCUUGUUAUAAUUUUGGAGACUGAUAACCUAACAACCACAAUAAAGACACUGUGCUGUACAAAAAA
rnacentral:lncRNA from 1 species